UACGAAGGGUGCUAGCGUUGCUCGGAAUCACUGGGCGUAAAGCGCACGUAGGCGGAUCUUUAAGUCAGGGGUGAAAUCCCGAGGCUCAACCUCGGAACUGCCCUUGAUACUGGGGAUCUCGAGUCCGGAAGAGGUUGGUGGAACUCCGAGUGUAGAGGUGAAAUUCGUAGAUAUUCGGAAGAACACCAGUGGCGAAGGCGGCCAACUGGUCCGGCACUGACGCUGAGGUGCGAAAGCGUGGGGAGCAAACAGG
rnacentral:rRNA from 1 species